rnacentral:rRNA from 1 species
AACGAACGAUGACUACUUCGUGUUUAGUGGUCUUCCAACCGUUCACGUUGCUGGCAGCUAACGCGAUUAAAGUCACACCGCCUGGGGAGUACGGCCGCAAGGUUAGAAACUCAAAUGGAAUUGACGGGGGCCCGCACAAGCGGUGGAGCAUGUGGUUUAAUUCGAUGCAACGCGAAGAACCUUACCUACUCUUGACAUCCAGCGAAUCCUUUAGAGAUAGAGGAGUGCCUUCGGGAACGCUGAGACAGGUGCUGCAUGGCUGUCGUCAGCUCGUGUUGUGAAAUGUUGGGUUAAAUCCCCGCAACGAAAA